GGACUGACAGCAGGGUCAAAUGAGCCAAAAGCACUGUUCCCUGGGCUGUCAUUCUUGUUUGCAAGCAAACACAGACUAGCCAUAACAGUCUUUUCCUAAAUGCUGCCCCCCCCCAAUGUUUUUCAAGAUGUUUGUUUACUUAUUUUGGCCUACAGUGCCUAAGAAACAGUAUUGUCUUCCAGAGAGAAAUGCAUCACAGAAGGCUCUAUUGGUUGACUGCUGGUGGUGCUGACCCUGUUCACUACUGUCACUGGGUUACAGACAGCAAUGUUGGCUGCCCAGAUGCAGCAGGGAGGAGUCUUGUGAUGCAGAGUAGAAGGCAAUGCAAUUUACAAUCUGUAAGGGAGACUUUCAGGACUGCAUUGUAUCUGUCUGUCAAUCACAGAUCAGAUCUCACUGAAAUACUUACAUUUGGGUGCCAAAAGCCAGAGAUUUCUGAAACCACUACGCCAUUCUGACAACUGAGUACCCCAGAUUUGCAGUAUGUAAGGAGGCAAUCAGCUAUUUUUAUUAUAGUAUUUGAAUUUUUUUAUUAAUUUAAAAUGAGAGAGGAAAAUUAGUUUAGCUGUGAAAUGUCUGUGCUGACAGGCCUGCAAAGGAAAGAUGUCAGGAAUACAUGUAACUAGAGGAUAACUUUUCUAAGCCCAGAUUUGUCAACAGCAAGCCAGAAGGCAGAAACAAUGUGAAAAUGUCAUUUCCCAGUGGAACCAGUACCUAAUUGACACUUGUAGUCUGCAAUGCCUGUUUCUCAUUUAACAGCUUUCACAGUAGAGGUUCGUAAACUUUACUCCACGUUUUCUUGUUUAGUCUCAAUUUCUUACUUUGACAUACAGCUGAAUCCUAAGGGGAAAUGAAACUACAACCUAGCUGCUUGUAAGCUGAUGAAACCUUUCCAGGAGAAUCAAUCCAGAAGAGAACUUGAUAUGAUAGACUGCAGCUGGCUCUAUGCAAGCUCCACGGACUACAAGUGCUCAGCAUAGAGAUGGCCAGUGCUGCAGUGCCCUGCACCUGGGGUGAACUGCGGCGAUGAUAGAUUCUCUUGGAUCUCAAUAGCAGGACUGAUGGGUGAUGUUUUACCAGGUCUCCUGCCCGUGUUAGUUCCUCUUAGAUGUUACUGAGAUUAUUCUGCAAGUGAUAUAGAGCAGUCCUGAGCACCAGCUAACAGAUCCAUGGGAAAAGUAUCAAGACACAAAGGGAUGCAUUCUUCACUUGUGUUAGUUCUCAUGAAUACAUCAACAGAGAGUUGUGCUUCUCUCUCUAAAACAAGUGCAAGACAGACAGCAGAUGUGCUAAUAUCCCCACAUUGCUCUGCCAAACCAGCGCGCACCAAGCCAUAUGGAUGGAUUGGUAUUUCUGAGGAGGACAUCAGGUCUGCUUUCCCUAUUACUGUGGGUCCCUGAUAAGACAGGCAAUUUGUUACAGGCUGGUGGUGUACUAGCUUGUGGCAGAGGCACAGAAGGGAAAUGCUUAGCUCUUGAAAGCCAUUACAAAAAAGGAAUGAAAAGCACCAGCAAUAUCAAAUGAGGUCAGUUCUUCCUUAUUGACAGACCUGGGGAAAGUUGUGCCACUGGCAGCAGUACACAUCUGUUGGCAUGGACCAUGACUGUGUAGGCAUCCCUCCUGCUCUGCCAGCAAGAUGCUGCAUGUCAGCAUGAAGAUAAGAUGCUUCUGCUGAAACUGCUGGUCAGCGUGCAAUGAGUGCUUCCUGCAUUCGACACAGUGAAGAGACUUCUGUGACUGGGAAAGUGAGGAGCUGACCACCCGCAGUUUGUCAUGAGGCCCACAUCUCUUGCACUAACACCUGAUUCCAGCUGCAGAGGAUUUAAAAACGUGAGUGCUCAUGGUGAAACUCAUGAAAAAGUAUUGCUAUUUGGUCCUCUCCAAAAAUUUGGGGAAGAUAUUAUCUGCUGUUUUGAAGACAUAAACCCCCAGUUUUAGCAGUGUGUCUUAUUCUAGUCGUUGAGACAUUCAUGUUUUUCACCUUUGCCUAAAGCUUGCUGUAUAAUCUUCAGCUCCCUUCGGACUACCAGCCAGUGGCAGGAGACAUCACUGUAGCAUUUGACCUAGACAGGUGCAAAUCUUUCUGUACUAAUCUUAUCACUGGCUUUUCAGCGGAAAUUUCCCAGAAGAUCUAAGUCCAUAACCAUCCUGACUGAAAAAAUGAGAUGGAUUUCAGUUGUGCCCCAGUUUGCACUACAUGAGCUGACUUUAUACAAUAAUAAAGGAGACUGGAUCAAAGGCAAAAGCCCUGCUGGAAAUCUUGUGGGCUGUCACCCUGCCUUUGGUGGCAGGAUCGUGAAAGGCUUUACUUUAACUGGUGUGAUAGGGCUUUGGGGCCGUUCCAGGAGCCUGCACAUUUCAAAGCUAUUUUGGUGUUACACUCCCUACUCCGCACUGGUCCCUGCGCGACAGCUUCCUGCGCUCACUCGCUGAUUUCUCAUCGACCUCCUUCAGUUUGAGAGCACGCCUGCCUGCCUCGGUGUUUCCCACACGCAUUACCACGAACACACACUUGAGGGCCACAGAUCUUAAGUUUAGCAGCUCCUGCCUUUAUCAGGUUUAUUCACUUGGAGAGGGAGUGGGAUUGCUCUCUGUCCCUUUGUAGCAUUAAUUUUCAAACACAAGGCAGGGUGGUCAAUAAUCUAUUCUGCUGGCAGUUUUACUUCGUUUAUUCCUGUUUCAGGUAUUAGUUUCCUCAGCAAUUUUAUCACCUGCAGGUUUGAUGUUAUCUAUUCAGUCUGGCAUGACCAUACACGCCUGUCCCUGAUCCUAGGGUGGCACACCAGAGUCUCCACGUUGCCCUGAGCCACAUUGUAGCUUGGCAUUGGAGAGUAUUUAUGUACAUGGAAGAGGACCUCUGUUUCCAGAGAGAUCAUCUGUUCCUGCUGCUUAUACCCUAUUAUUUGAUGUCAUGAUCUUGGUUGCUGUGGAAAUGAUUAAGCUGUCAUCAACACGAUUCAGAUAGGGAAUAAGCUCUGGGAGAAGAUAAUACAACAUUCCUUCUUUUAUGCAAAUAUGUGCACUUCUCAGAGAGGGCACAGCCCGGGCCAUGUUUUGAAUCAGGGACUUCAUGAUCUUUGGAGGAUGCUGUAAACCCACACAGAGCAUUCAUUUUCAACAGCAGAGAUGUGUCAAUUACAUCAAUACCCCUCAAAGUGUGGAGUUUACAAGAUAGGCGUCUGCAGGAUGCAAUGGGAUUCUGGAGUCCAACGGAACAAUUGUGGUGGCUUCUCUCUUUUCACCUCAUUGAUGCUGCUACUUUCAAAGUUUCAUCAGGCACCAGAGAGAUCCCUGAUGAGCAGGGGAAAGCAGAGAAACUCCAGAGGUCCUUAAUGAAAUCGUUCAGAUCUGUAUGCUGUGCCCGAGUUCAUUCUGGAUUUGGCUUCCCUGUCUGAAUCCCCUAUGCACACUCAUAGUUUCCUCCGGUGCAUUCACCUUCAGAUGACUGUCUUGAUGCAAGUAAAAGAACCAUAUAUAACCUGUCGAGGAAUGUAAUAGAGCAGAACAUGAGCAUUGUCUGCAGCAUGUUUAGCUUUAACAGACUGCUGAGCCUUUGUAGGUUAAUAUACAGAUAAUGUUGUCAGUCAAGUUUGGUGCAUUUUCUUUAACUGUGUGAAGUCAACACUGAGAUUAGGUGGUACUACAAAGUCUCAAAAACCAGGCUGCGAUUUUUGCAAGGAGACUUAUGCAUCUAACUCAUAUUGAAUUUUAGUUGGCUACAGGGACCUAAGUUCCUUAACAUUCUAGGUCCUAAAGGAUUACCCUUCAUCUUCUUUGUGUUUUACUCCAGGUAGAAUGGAUACAGGCUUCUUACAAAGAAAUUGUUAUUUUUAAUUUUAAGCAAAUCAAAACCUAAGACAUGAAUAAAGCUAUUUCGAAAGGGUUUGAAAAAUUAUUCAGAAAUGCUGUUAGGAUAAAUUCCUUAUGUACUGGAGAGAAGCUGCAAUGUUUUGUGCUGUUUUAGUGACUUUUCCUUGAAAAUUGCCUACUUGUAUCUUUUUGUUUUAAAUAAUUUCUAGGAUUCAGAUUGGUUAAUGCACCAUUAAAGGAAUUUAUUUGCACAGAAA